rnacentral:lncRNA from 1 species
CUACAAUGUAAAUAGUCAUGAAAAUAAAGAAAAAACCUUUAAAUGAGACUGUUAGUGUAUACAUAGAUGGCGUAAUAUUUCUGCAUUCCUGUGUUUGUAAAAUAAAUUAAAAACAAAAAAAAUCUGCACACUGAAAAAAACGUGGGAAAGAAGAAGCUGAGGUUAUUUUGUCUCUACUCUUUGUUUUACUUCCUUUAUCACCUUUCCACAUACAGUUUGUGAACACCGACUGAUAUGUAGUAUCAGUCAUUUCUGUUAUUUAACUGUAUGAACACACUCUGAACACCAAGAAGACAUGGAAGCUGUGCUUGGAUUGAUAGUGAUGUUGCUGGGAUUGUCUCAUGGUGUGGAAACUUACUGUGAUGGCAGACCGGAUGGAGCUCAGUGUUAUGGAGCUUUGGGAGGAACUGUGGAGAUCCAGCUGAUGAACAGCACCUCAAAAAUACCUCGAUACCAACUGUUAAAGAAUUCAUUAAAAAUACUAGAUGUGAGAAAAAAAAAGAUUCUUUCUAAUAUCAUACAAAAUAGGUCUCUCUUUUUUCCCAGUAAUGGAACAUUUAGGCUCAAUUACCUGAGCAGGAAUGACAGUGGUAAUUAUAGCCUUAUAACAUUUAAUUCAGAUGGAAAAGCAUCAGACGAGCAGACUCUACACUUGUUUGUUCAAGCUCCUGUGUCCUCUGUCCUGCUGGUCUCUGAGUGUCUGUCCCAGGAAGAGAGGAUGGUGUCCUGCUCCUCUGAGGGAGGGGACAGUCCUCAGUACAGCUGGACUCUGGAUGGACGCACACUGACAGAUGCUGAGCUCCUUUCUGCAAAUAAUGAGACUAACGUUAUCACUCUGAAACAGCACGUCUCAGGACGUCUGGUCUGCUCAGUCAGGAACAACGUCACUAAUGUUUUCAUAGAACACAGGAUGUCUACCUGUGCUCCAUCAGUGGGAUACAGACAUCAGGAUAAGUCCUUGCUUAUAUGUGGUUUGCGAGCAGUUGUGGUCAUUCUCUUGCUAAUUGGGAUUUCCAUCUACUUCGCUUGGAAAAAAAAGGAACAUGCCAAAGCUGAAGUCUCUGCUGUCCCACAAACAAGAGGAGAUCCAGAAGACUCUGUUCUGAUGGUUGAAAUGAGUUCUGCAACUUACACCAACACCUAGUGUCACCUUUUACUUGCUGUUGUUUUUGUCAUUGGUUCACAAGCAUGAAAAUAACAUUUAGAGAGAAAUUCUUGUUUCACAGACAGCUCAUAUUGAAUUAUGAUGAGACGCUCUGUGGUUUCUGGAUUUUACAUUUUUAAUACAAAUCUUUACAAUUCUUAAACAAUAAAGUCUUGAAUUAAGUUUUCU